UGUAAGCGUAUACCAAAGUUGUUACAGUUAAAACGCUCGUAGUCGGAAUUUGGCAGUUCCGGAUGUGUGCACGUCGUGUGCGCACUUCGCGGGGAUUGCUUUUGUGGUCUUGCGUAGGAUGAGGCACUUUUAUUAGUGAACGUCCUCACGCAACCACUUUUUACUGUGAGAAAAUCAGAGUGCUCAAAGCAGGCAUUUGCCGUGAAUGUAUUAGCAUGGAAUAAUAGAAUAGGACUUGGUUCUAUUUUGUUGGUUUGUUGGGACUGAGUAAUGAUUAAGAGGGACAGUUGGGGGCAUUUGUAUUUCGGUGCUAGAGGUGAAAUUCUUAGAUUACCGAAAGACAAACUGCUGCGAAAGCGUCUGCCAAGGAUGUUUUCAUUAA
rnacentral:rRNA from 1 species